rnacentral:rRNA from 1 species
GACGAACGCUGGCGGCGUGCUUAACACAUGCAAGUCGAACGGAAAGGCCCUGCUUUUGCGGAGUGCUCGAGUGGCGAACGGGUGAGUAACACGUGAGUAACCUGCCCUUGACUUUGGGAUAACUUCAGGAAACUGGGGCUAAUACCGGAUAGGAGCUCCUGCUGCAUGGUGGGGGUUGGAAAGUUUCGGCGGUUGGGGAUGGACUCGCGGCUUAUCAGCUUGUUGGUGGGGUAGUGGCUUACCAAGGCUUUGACGGGUAGCCGGCCUGAGAGGGUGACCGGCCACAUUGGGACUGAGAUACGGCCCAGACUCCUACGGGAGGCAGCAGUGGGGAAUAUUGCACAAUGGGCGGAAGCCUGAUGCAGCAACGCCGCGUGCGGGAUGACGGCCUUCGGGUUGUAAACCGCUUUCGCCUGUGACGAAGCGUGAGUGACGGUAAUGGGUAAAGAAGCACCGGCUAACUACGUG